CUUGCAGAUGGGAAGAGAAAGAAAGACUGCCUGCUCAGCCAGUCUUCUAAACUUUUCCUUUUUGACACUGCCGAUUGUGUUGCUGGCUGGUAUUAAGAUCAGCCAGCAACGCAAGCUACUUCACUGCUGAUUAGCUUUACCGGUCUACGAUGUUUCACAUCUAUUAGUCCCAAUUUAUGGCAUUUGUUGACACAUUAAAACAGCAGCCUACUUGAACAAAGCAUGUUGCUCUGCAAUGAAUACAGACAGCUUCUAACUUGCUCUUGGAAACCUCAAAGCAUGAAAAGGCAAUGCAUGGUUUAUAGAAACGUUCUGUGGUUUGCGCAAGUGUCAGAACCUUUACUUCUGCCUACCUCUGAUUAUUCUGUAACGUGACCAAAUCUGUCCACAUUGCAUGUAUUUCUUCACGGGGAAUGUGUAUCAGAAGGUCCAAGUUAGCACUCCUUACUGUGUUCAGUGGCACACCUGUUGUGAACUGGCGCUUUUGGACUUGACCAAAGCACAAUGGUGUCUCAAGGUUUAGACGUGACCAACACAUGCAUCUUUGUGUCAUGCAAACGAAAGGCCUUUACACUGAGCAAACAUCAAGGAAUUGGAAUAUGAAGUGACAAAAGCAAAUUCUCAGUGCAAUGAUCCUUUAAAUGUACUACAAAGUCUCUUUGUAGCCGGGCAGUUUACACAUAUGAGCCCUGCACAGAUAUUAGUACGUAGACAAUAGAGACAGUAUAAAA
rnacentral:lncRNA from 1 species